UCGCGCCACCCGCCGGCGACCAACAUCGCCCAUCGCCUGCCUCCGUCGUGCACGGGACUGGAUAUGCCCCCCCGGCACCUCUUCCUCCCCUGCCCCCGCGCAUGGAAGCUAGUGACUGCCGCCAUUCGAUGCUCUGCUCCAUCAACUUCAACCACCGGCUCAUGAGCAGUCCUACUUCUCCAUGAUGACAAGGACGAUGUCGCCAUGCGUGCAUGCUCUCCUUUCUUUCUCCUUCCGAGACGGUGAGGAGCUCCAGCACCGCCGGCGCCGCCAUGCAUGCAUGAUCCUAGUGCCGCACCGCCGGCGCCCAACCCCUCCGCCCGCGAGCUAGGGUACUAGGACGCCCUCCUCACCGCGGUGUCCUUGCUGGCCGUCAGCGGUGGAAGCGGGGUGGCAGCCGGGACCUUGUCGUGCUCGUCUCCGACUACUGUCAAGGCCGUGGAUUACGCCCAACACAUUGUUCCGCAAUGAGCCAGGACAGAGGUUGCUGGAUACUGUCGUGCACGCCGUGAUCAACCGUGGCCAUUGGCCACCCCUUCGGUCAGUUGUCUUUCCUUGAUUUGGUCUAUUGAAAAUUGAAUUGUUGAAUUUUGAACUGAACCGUUGAAAAGUUGCUUAUGAACCUGACCUUCUGUUUGAAUUGAACGGUUGAACUGAUGAACUACUACCUCUGAUCUUGAACUGUUGGAAUGGAAAUGUUGAAUUUGGUCGGGACUUUACUGGGGACAAAGUAUUGUUUAGUUUCUAAUUUUACAAAGAUCAUGUGCAAAAUACUUGAUAUACAUAUACAAAAGAACUGUAUAAAAGAUCAUGGGUGGGUUUGCUGAAGACAUGUGUUCGUGUGUAUAUUUUUAAGCUCGGAGUACUAUAUUAUAUUUACGUAUCCUUCAAGAUAGUGGAACUUCUAAGGAAAUAGUGUGCUUUUGUUUGUGUCCAUAUCAUAUCCCAGAUAGACAUUAGUCUUGUUCAUCAGUUCAUAGAUAAGCACAUCUAUCAGCUCGGUGUGUGUUCUAGAAAUAAUUCAGAUUUAUUGGUUCAUAAAAUAAGCACAAAACUGUUCUCGUGCAUGUAUUUGUUUACUUUCUUUUUGAGAAAGUACUUGUUUACUUUCUUGUUUGGAAAAUCGUUCAUGGGUGAUGGUUCAUCGGAACGGCCCAUACUCUUGCUCACGGCCUGGAUCUGGCAUUUGCCGUCGCCCUGUGCUUAACCAGAGUCCCCGUCCUCCCCAUUCUCCACUGCAACAAGCAGCUGCUCUGUCCUGCUCGCAUCUUCUGCUACGUGGUGACGCCUCUUUGUAUUAAUUGCACACAUCUGAUGUGUUCUUAUAGUUAGACAUUAGAUGGAUCUUUGCAUCGCAGAUCUUUGCGCUAGGUUGUUCUUAUUUAGUUUGUUAGCAUCUUCCUCCUAUUUUUCUCAUUGAUCAUUUGGAACACGGCCUGCUAUCAAGUGUUUCUCUUACAAUUUUGUUGUUGAUUCUUGGACACAGUAUACUUUCUCGUAUGUUUCAUUAAAUAGAGCACAUCUAAACCUAAGUCAGCACUCAGUAAUGUCAAUUUUGUGAUGCAUCUUCUUU